rnacentral:rRNA from 1 species
UACAGAGGUCUCAAGCGUUGUUCGGAUUCAUUGGGCGUAAAGGGUGCGUAGGCGGCGCGGUAAGUCGGGUGUGAAAUCUCGGAGCUUAACUCCGAAACUGCAUUCGAUACUGCCGUGCUUGAGGACUGGAGAGGAGACUGGAAUUUACGGUGUAGCGGUGAAAUGCGUAGAUAUCGUAAGGAAGACCAGUGGCGAAGGCGGGUCUCUGGACAGUUCCUGACGUGAGGCACGAAGGCCAGGGGAGCAAACGGGAUUAGAGUACCUA